rnacentral:tRNA from 1 species
UUUUUGAAAGUGCCUGCACAAAAGAUUGUAAAUCUUUCAUUGAUUAAUAAAUCUCAAAAUA